GCCGGGUGUGGUGACGCACACCUGUAAUCCCAGUUACUCAGGAGGCUGAGGCAGGAGAAUCACUUGAACCCAGGAGGCGGAGGUUGCAGUGAGCCAAGAUUGUGCCAUUGCACUCCAGCCUGGAUGACAGAGUGAGACUCUGUCUCAA
rnacentral:SRP_RNA from 1 species